AAUUUAUAAUCUGGCACCUUCGGUGUCCGAGUUGUAAUCUCUAGAAGUGUUUUCCGCGUUGGACCGCACACAAGUCUGUUGGAAUACAGCGGCAUAGUGGUGAAACCCCCGUAUAUGGUGCGGACGCCCAGCGCUUUGUGAUACACUUUCAAUGAGUCGAGUUGUUUGGGAAUGCAGCUCAAAUUGGGUGGUAAAUUCCAUCUAAAGCUAAAUAUUGGCGAGAGACCGAUAGCGAACAAGUACCGUGAGGGAAAGAUGAAAAGCACUUUGGAAAGAGAGUUAACAGUACGUGAAAUUGUUGGAAGGGAAACGCUUGAAGUCAGACUUGCUUGCCGGAGCUUGCUUCGGGUUUGCAGGCCAGCA
rnacentral:rRNA from 1 species